AUUGAACGCUGGCGGCAUGCUUUACACAUGCAAGUCGAACGGCAGCGCGGGCUUCGGCCUGGCGGCGAGUGGCGAACGGGUGAGUAAUGCAUCGGAACGUGCCCAGUAGUGGGGGAUAGCCCGGCGAAAGCCGGAUUAAUACCGCGUACGACCUGAGGGUGAAAGCGGGGGACCGAAAGGCCUCGCGCUAUUGGAGCGGCCGAUGUCGGAUUAGCUAGUUGGUGGGGUAAAGGCUUACCAAGGCGACGAUCCGUAGCUGGUCUGAGAGGACGACCAGCCACACUGGGACUGAGACACGGCCCAGACUCCUACGGGAGGCAGCAGUGGGGAAUUUUGGACAAUGGGGGCAACCCUGAUCCAGCCAUGCCGCGUGCGGGAAGAAGGCCUUCGGGUUGUAAACCGCUUUUGUUCGGGAAGAAAUCCUCUGGGCUAUACCCCGGGGGGAUGACGGUACCGGAAGAAUAAGCACCGGCUAACUACGUG
rnacentral:rRNA from 1 species